UUCAGCAGCAGCUCCCAAGCGAGAGCAGCAGGCUCCACGGCUUGACGGGGCUAAAGCAAAUCCAAGGGAAUCGCUCCCCUCUGUUCCUCCUGUCGUUAGCGUUUGAUUUUUCUCUUUUCCGUAAAUAAGAGCAAAGGGGCGUUUCGGCCCCUGGAUGCCGGGCUGCUCCGCGGGAGCUGUUUCCCGCGCCCCGGGGCCGGGGCUCAUCCGCGACCGACGCUGAGCAAGCAGCGGCUCGGGGAAGCACCGCUGGGCGCACAGAUAGUGGCGGCGAUGUUCCCGAUUUGGAGGCAAUGUCGAACCAUGUGCUAGGGGAAUUCAACCAGUCCCAGGCAGAACUGGUUGGUAAUUUUUAGACUAAAUGUUUUUGCUCGGAAAUUUUUACUGAAACCCAGUGUGUCUAUAGGAAAGCAUCAGUUUGGACCAAUUUCUAUUUCAAAAUGAUUUUUGGAGAAAAAGAUAGCUUUUCAAAUUGCCAAAAGACCCCAUUUGAACACUUUCUCAGCAGACCUAAUCCAUUUCUCAGCUCCAAAUUACUUUUCAUUUUGAAAUGUAAGUAAAUUUAUUGCAGAAUCUUCCUUUGAAAGGAGGCUGAAAUACUACCGGAAUGGUUAGAGAGGAUCUCAGUGACACGCUGUGAUUAACUCAUUCCAGCUUGGGAUUUGAAUUUUCAGCUGACGUUUUUUCUUUUCUUUUUCUUCAUGGCCGAAUCACCGGAAGGGCACGUUAUCGCACUGAUCCGGCCCCUGCAGGUAUCUCCAUCCGGGAAAUAGGAGACGGACGCUCAGCUCCUCUGGCUGGCAGUGGCUCAGCGGGGAUUUUAUGCCUCUUGGCUGCUUCCCUCAGGUAUGUUCCAGGGCUGCCUGAUUACGAAGCACCGAGCGUAACGAGCGCUGCCAAAGCGAGCGUGGGUGCCUGGCAGGGUGCGGGUUUGGGUGGCACCCGUGUCCCCGACGGAGCCCAGCGAUGCAGUCAUGAGCUCUUUGCUCAGCCCCUCUCCUCCACAGACCCCGGCCACGCUAGCCCAAAUUUGCAGCAGUGGCAGCACCAGCUCUGCCCCGCCGUGCUGCUGCCCCCAGCGAGGGACGCGGGGCCCGAGGGAUGCUCCGCGCCCCCGAGGUGCUCCCCGCGGACGUGGCGAUCCCUUUGCAAAAGCUGGAAGCAGGUGGAGGAAGGGCGAGAGGCUGGAGCUGUUGAGCAUCCUUCAGUGGCACUAUCACACGCAACGGGACUGAAAAUGCAACGGCCGCUUACGUAGGGCAAUAAAAAACACCCAAGCUGGAGUGUGCCCA
rnacentral:lncRNA from 1 species